rnacentral:rRNA from 1 species
GGGAGUGAGAAUGCAGACAUGAGUAGCGAGAGACGGGUGAGGAUCCCGUCCGCUGGAUGACCAAGGGUUCCGGGGCCACGUUCGUCGUCCCCGGGUGAGUCGGGUCCUAAGGCGAGGCCGACAGGCGUAGUCGAAUGGAUGAACGGGUGGAUAUUCCCGUACCGACCAUGGACCGGCAAAACCGAGACGGUGAGUACUAACCUCCGCCUCGUGGUGGUUCCUUCCUUCGGGUUGGUAUCGCCGCGUGGUGUUGGGAGCGUAGCCGUAGUAGGUCAGCGCAGGGGUGACACGGAAUGGGAGCCGGCCGCGGAGGUGGUUUUCCGUGGUCAAGCACGCAGCCCGUCCCGUAGGCAAAUCCGCGGGGCGUGUGGGCGAGGUGCGAUGGUGGGGGCCUUGUGGCCCGAUAUCCGGUGAUCCCGGCUGCCGAGAAAAGCUUCGGCGUGAGGCUCGAAGCCGCCCGUACCCCAAACCGACACUGGUGGUCAGGUAGAGAAUACCAAAGCGAUCGAGCGAAUCCUGGUCAAGGAACUCGGCAAAUCACUCCCGUGCCUUCGGUAUAAGGGAGACCCGCUGGGGUGAACCGGCUAGCCCGGGGAGCUUUGGUGGGUGGCACAGACCAGGGGGUAGCGACUGUUUACCAAAAACACAGGUGCAUGCGAAGGCGCAAGCCGCUGUAUAUGCACUGACGCCUGCCCGGUGCCGGAAGGUUAAGAGGAUCCGUCAGUCCUUCGGGAUGAAGCGGUGAAUUCAAGCCCCGGUAAACGGCGGUGGUAACUAUAACCAUCCUAAGGUAGCGAAAUUCCUUGUCGGGUAAGUUCCGACCUGCACGAAUGGAGUAACGACUUCCCUACUGUCUCAACCAUGAACUCGGCGAAAUUGCAGUACGAGUAAAGAUGCUCGUUUCGCGCAGCAGGACGGAAAGACCCCGUGACCUUUACUAUAGUUUGGUAUUGGUGUUUGGUUUGGCUUGUGUAGGAUAGGUGGGAGACUGUGAUGCAUGGACGCUAGUUUGUGUUGAGUCGUUGUUGAAAUACCACUCUGGUCAAUCUGGAUGUCUAACUUCGGGCCAUGAUCUGGUUCAGGGACAGUGCCUGAUGGGUAGUUUAACUGGGGCGGUUGCCUCCUAAAGUGUAACGGAGGCGCCCAAAGGUUCCCUCAGCCUGGUUGGCAAUCAGGUGUUGAGUGUAAGUGCACAAGGGAGCUUGACUGUGAGACUGGCAGGUCGAACAGGGACGAAAGUCGGGACUAGUGAUCCGGCGGUACGUUGUGGAACGGCCGUCGCUCAACGGAUAAAAGGUACCUCGGGGAUAACAGGCUGAUCUUGCCCAAGAGUCCAUAUCGACGGCAUGGUUUGGCACCUCGAUGUCGGCUCGUCGCAUCCUGGGGCUGGAGUCGGUCCCAAGGGUUGGGCUGUUCGCCCAUUAAAGCGGUACGCGAGCUGGGUUCAGA